UACGUAGGGGGCAAGCGUUGUCCGGAAUCAUUGGGCGUAAAGCGCGUGUAGGCGGUUCGAUAAGUCUGCUGUGAAAGUCCAGGGCUCAACCCUGGAAAGCCGGUGGAUACUGUCGGACUAGAGUGCAGAAGGGGCAAUCGGAAUUCCUGGUGUAGCGGUGAAAUGCGCAGAUAUCAGGAAGAACACCUAUGGCGAAGGCAGCUCUCUGGGACGGUACUGACGCUGAGACGCGAAAGCGUGGGGAGCGAACAGG
rnacentral:rRNA from 1 species